GCCACUCAAGUUGGCUGAUUGCCAUGCCUCCAGUGUGUCCAUCUUCCCAGACAUUCAUUUGAGCUCUGUCGCUGAACAGAGCAAGUCUCCUUCAUUUCCUGGAGCACCACUCUGAAGAACUAGCCGUUUACACUCUUCUUGAUACAGCUGAAGUAUUGCUGUUUGAAGGGAACAAACAGGCAACCCUUUAAAAUUCCCUUUGAGCCCAGGGAGCAGCACAUGAAGGAGGCAGAAUUCCACCUUGCACGUCUGGCUGCCAGGUGUUGGGCACUGUACAUGUGUCACAUGGGAAGGGACAAUGUGACACAAAGAAAUGGGAGACUUGCUGAGAUCCAGCCGACCUCCUGCCAUGAGGGUACUUUACCAUGUAUUUGCCAUGGCCACCGGAGAGGUGGUAUCUGAACAUUGGAACAAUUUACCCCCUGAAGAAAUUGAACUUCCUCCACACAACCACAACUAGGGGAAUCCUGAAGAAAUCCAGUACAGAACGUGUGGGAUCACCAGAGGG